GUGAGGAAUAUUGGACAAUGGGCGCAAGCCUGAUCCAGCCAUGCCGCGUGCAGGAAGACGCAUCUAUGGUGUGUAAACUGCUUUUGUACGGGAAGAAACACUCCCUCGUGAGGGAGCUUGACGGUACCGUAAGAAUAAGGAUCGGCUAACUCCGUGCCAGCAGCCGCGGUAAUACGGAGGAUCCAAGCGUUAUCCGGCAUCAUUGGGUUUAAAGGGUCCGUAGGCGGUUUAAUAAGUCAGUGGUGAAAACCCAUCGCUCAACGAUGGAACGGCCAUUGAUACUGUUAGACUUGAAUUACAAGGAAGUAACUAGAAUAUGUAGUGUAGCGGUGAAAUGCUUAGAUAUUACAUGGAAUACCAAUUGCGAAGGCAGGUUACUACUUGUGGAUUGACGCUGAUGGACGAAAGCGUGGGGAGCGAACAGGAUUAGAUACCCGUGUAGUCC
rnacentral:rRNA from 1 species